rnacentral:lncRNA from 1 species
CAGUCCCGGAGUCGGUGCCUAUACAAGGAGCCGCAUAUUAACUUCUGAAGAGCCGCAUAUGGCUCCGGAGCCACAGGUUGGCCACCCCUGAUCUAGCCUGAUUUCUUGUAUAAUACAGGCCAAAGAAUUUCACCCUGUGAUUCUUGCCUCAAGCCCAUAAGAUAAAUUAUUUGUAUAAUCCACAGCUCUGUGGCGCUGAGCAUAACGGUUCCCCCUCCCUUCAGGUUCUCUUCAUUGAAACAUUGCAGACCCUCAACGAGAUGCUCCUGAGUCUGAUUUUAGAAAAUCCAGUUCUGGCUGAGCUAGAGAGGAUCUUGCAGCUCAUGGACUCCUGGAUGCAGUCCAGGGAAGCUUGCCGGCGGGAGAGGGCUGUAUGGAGCAGCAUACUGCUCCUAAACUUCGUGGCCACAGAAAUCAAACUGGAUGUGAGUAACUCUUCACUUCUAGUGACCUGAUUGCAAACUAGACCUACAGGGCACUCUCCCAUGCCAGAGAAACUUCCUGCUUAGAAGUAUGUUGAUGGGCCCCACAGUGCAAUGCUCCCUAAUAGGCAGAGGAAAAACUGAUCUCGUUGCUCGUCCAUCAUCCUGACUGAGAUGGGUUGGCGUCUGAUACACUUGGAAAAUAAAUCCAAUGCCCUGGAGGAAUAGGCCA